AUUUCUAUAGUUUAAGUAAAAUAUGAUAGUGAAAAUAUCAAGAUAUGGAAUUUUAGGAAUA
rnacentral:tRNA from 1 species